ACUACUUUAGAAGCCACACUAUGCAGGCUGUUCGUUUGAAACUAGUUUACUACUCAAAAACCAGAGUCCACGCCGAAAACAAUGGCCAAACCCGAAACGGUGCGUUUCGCCAUCAUGGGCUGCGCCCACAUCGCGAGAAAAGUGGCUCGAGCCAUUGCCUUAGCGCCCAACGCCACCCUUUGUGCCGUAGCCAGCCGUUCCCUCCAAAAGGCCCAAACCUUCGCCGCCCAAAACGCCCUCCCCGACACCGUCGCCCUUUAUGGCAGCUACCAAGAGCUGCUCGACGAUCCAACUGUGGACGCAGUGUACCUGCCGCUCCCAACUUCUCUGCACGUGCGGUGGGCGGUGGCGGCCGCCGCCCGGAGGAAGCACGUGCUGCUGGAGAAGCCGGCUGCGCUAGAUGCGGCGGAGCUAGAGCGGAUCUUGGAGGCGUGCGAGUCGAAUGGCGUGCAGUUCAUGGACGGGAGCAUGUGGCUGCAUCACCCUAGGACCUCUCAUAUGAAGCAACUUUUGUCCCUUUCUCAUUCUGGAAGCAUUGGAAACAUUCAAUUUAUUCACAGCACAUCAACAAUGCAAACAAGAGCUGGAUUCCUGGAGAGCAACAUCAGAGUGAAGGCAGACUUGGAUGGGCUUGGUGCGUUGGGUGACCUGGCAUGGUACUGCAUUGGUGCUUCCUUGUGGGCAAAGGGAUACCAAUUGCCAGCCACCGUCACUGCUCUUCCCGAUGUCACAAGAAACGCCGCCGGAGUCAUCUUGUCCAUCACCGCCUCUUUGCAUUGGGACCAACCAGACCAAACCGUCGCAACCAUCCACUGUUCCUUUCUCUCUCACACUUCCAUGGACCUUGCCAUAUGUGGUUCCAACGGCUCCCUGCAUGUCAGGGAUUUUAUAAUCCCUUACCAGGAACACGUUGCUUCCUUUGACUUCACAUUUGGUGCCAAGUUUGUUGAUCUUCACAUUGGGUGGAAUGUGAAGCCAGAGGAAGUUCAUGUAGCCAAUGUGCUCCCUCAAGAAGCACUUAUGGUGCAAGAGUUUGCUAGCCUUGUCGCCACUGGCCCCGAUAAUAAGUGGCCUCAGAUUACUAGAAAGACUCAGCUCGUCGUUGAUGCGCUCAACAAGUCGUUAGACCUCGGCUGCAAACCCGUUUCCUUGUAGACCCUUUUGGCCUCCUCAAGUGUUUCAAUAAUCUAUUCAAAAUCAAUCGUACUCACCAUGUAUAGACGGCGUGAUCGAAUUCUCUGCAACUUCUUCUGGAAGUACAUAGUCAGGAUCAUCAAGACAAUUCACGUCAUCGGGUAAAUCAGCAUCUACCCACUCUGUCC